AUUGAACGCUGGCGGCAGGCCUAACACAUGCAAGUCGAGCGGAUGAAGGGAGCUUGCUCCUGGAUUCAGCGGCGGACGGGCGAGUAAUGCCUAGGAAUCUGCCCGGCAGUGGGGGAUAACGUCCGGAAACGGGCGCUAAUACCGCAUACGUCCUGAGGGAGAAAGUGGGGGAUCUUCGGACCUCGAGCUACCGGAUGAGCCUAGGUUGGAUUAGCUAGUUGGUUGGGUAAAGGCCUACCAAGGCGACGAUCCGUAACUGGCCUGAGAGGGUGAUCAGUCACACUGGAACUGAGACACGGUCCAGACUCCUACGGGAGGCAGCAGUAGGGAAUAUUGGACAAUGGGCGAAAGCCUGAUCGAGCCAUGCCGCGUGUGUGAAGAAGGUCUUCGGAUUGUAAAGCACUGUAAGUUGGGAGGAAGGGCAGUAAGUUAAUACCUGGCUAUUUUGACGUUACCAACAGAAUAAGCCCCGGCUAACUUCGUG
rnacentral:rRNA from 1 species